CCCAUCCAUUCUACAUCAUAAAACUACGCAAAAAUCCGUCCACAAAGCAAUCUGCCGCAAGCAAGCAAAGGAGAAUUCUUGGAUGCACUUGCUACCCAAGUUGGAGCAUUUUAGGUGUUUUCUUUCCUUAGAUUUUAAUGUCUAAUUUUAUGUAUCUUUGCUUUGUGAGUAUGAGGAACUAAACCCCACUUAGUUAGGGGGUGAUUCGAAACCAUGUUCAUACUUGCAAUAUGAUUUGAUUACAUCCAGUUGUGAUUCAUAAGUUGUGAAUUCAAUUUACUUAUCCGAUCAUAUAAAAAAUGAUUUGUGUAUGUUGGUUGAGAGUGCACGCUUAAUUUUCAUGCAUGAAUUUAACGCUAGAAU
rnacentral:lncRNA from 1 species